AAAAGAAAGAAAAAGAAAGAAUCAGACGUAAAGGCAAUUUGAAAAGUAAUUGCCUGGGAAGCGAAAUGAAUCACAGGAGGAAGAAUCCGUUUGGAAGGGGAAAAGCCCUAGGCUCACGAACAGAUCUCCCGCCCAAACUUUCCCAAGAACAUCUCUCAGGGAAAUGGCGCCGCCGAUUGAAUCUCGCCGUCCCGAACUCCGCAAGGACUCAGUGACGAAUCGUUGGGUCAUAUUCUCACCCGCCCGAGCUAAACGGCCCUCCGAUUUCAAAUCAAAAUCCCCAGCCCCUUCUUCUUCCGACUCUCUCCAAACAUGCCCCUUCUGCAUUGGCCAAGAGCACCACUGCGCUCCCGAGAUCUUCCGAUUUCCUCCUCAGAACUCCGAUUGGAAAGUUCGCGUCAUUCAAAAUCUCUAUCCUGCUCUAAGUAGGGACAAGGGUCUCGAUUCUUCAACUUCCCUUAGCUCCGAUUCUCUCUUAUGGGGUUGCCUUUUGGACGGCUAUGGAUUCCACGACGUCAUUAUCGAGUCCCCUCUUCACUCAGUUCACCUCUCUGAUUUGACCCCCGAGGACGUCGCUCAGGUUCUUCUUGCUUACAAGAAGCGGAUUCUGCAGCUCGCAGGCGAUGACAGCAUCAAAUAUGUUCAGGUGUUCAAGAACCACGGUGCCUCAGCUGGAGCAUCAAUGACGCACUCCCAUAGUCAGAUGGUGGGUCUUCCCGUCAUUCCUCCCUCUGUUUCUACUCGACUUGAUAGUAUGAAGCAGUAUUUCAAUCAGACGGGAAAAUGUAGCAUUUGUCAUGUUCCUACAAAGGACCUUUUGGUUGAUGAAUCAGUCCAUUUCAUUUCAGUUGUUCCUUAUGCAGCUUCGUUUCCUUUUGAGCUCUGGAUCGUUCCUCGUGACCAUGUUCCUCAUUUUCAUGAGCUGGACCAGGAGACGGCUGUUGAUCUUGGAGGGCUAUUGAAAGUGACACUCAUGAAGAUGUCUCUGCAGCUGAACAAACCGCCAUUCAACUUCAUGAUUCACACUUCUCCCUUGCAGGCUUUGGAUUCGGACUUAGCUUACAGCCACUGGUUUUUUCAGAUUGUUCCUCAGCUUUCUGGUGUAGGGGGGUUUGAACUUGGAACUGGUUGCUACAUCAAUCCCGUUUUUCCAGAGGAUGCUGCUAAAGUCAUGGGGGAGGUUAACAUCUCAAUAUAGGCACAGGCCCAGGAUGUAUAUUAACUAGGAAGCACGAGUACAAUAAUGAGAGAUGGACACAACAUUUGGACACGGGUAUUGCUCUGGAUAAAGAGAGCGGGAGCAUAUGUUACAUGAUUGAAGCAAGGGACCAACACACUGAGAAUAAUAGAAUGUAGAUAUUAUUCCCACCUUCAAUCCAGGUGAUCAAAUAACACCCUUAAUAGUACUAUCAUGUCCACGAUACUUUUGAUAUAUUUUGUCAAUUAUUUUACGAUUAUGGAAACUCCAUCCAAGAGCUUUUGGAAGAAAUCAAAAGCAUAAUAAUCAUCAGAUAGGGAAAUGUUGAUGGAAAUGUCCCAUUAUCAUACUUUGGUAAUUAGUUGAGGAGACAACGUGAUGGCAUUUCAUUUA